rnacentral:rRNA from 1 species
AGAGUUUGAUCCUGGCUCAGGAUGAACGCUGGCGGCGUGCUUAACACAUGCAAGUCGAACGAUUAAAGCCCUCUUCGGAGGGUGUAUAAAGUGGCGAACGGGUGAGUAACACGUGGGUAACCUACCUUUCUCUCUGGGAUAACCCUUGGAAACGAGAGCUAAUACCAGAUACUCCGGGACGGUCGCAUGGCCGACCCGGGAAAACUCAGGUGGAGGAAGAUGGACCCGCGGCCCAUUAGGUAGUUGGUGAGGUAACGGCCCACCAAGCCUACGAUGGGUAGCCGAGCUGAGAGGCUGAUCGGCCACACUGGGACUGAGACACGGCCCAGACUCCUACGGGAGGCAGCAGUGGGGAAUUUUGCGCAAUGGGCGAAAGCCUGACGCAGCAACGCCGCGUGCGGGAUGAAGGCCUUCGGGUCGUAAACCGCUUUCAGCAGGGAUGAAAUUGACAGUACCUGCAGAAGAAGCUCCGGCUAACUACGUGCCAGCAGCCGCGGUAAUACGUAGGGAGCAAGCGUUAUCCGGAUUCAUUGGGCGUAAAGCGCGCGUAGGCGGCCUGUUAAGUCAGGUGUGAAAGCCGGGGGCUCAACCCGCGGAUUGCAUCUGAAACUGGCAGGCUUGAGUGUGGUAGAGGAAAGUGGAAUUCCAGGUGUAGCGGUGAAAUGCGCAGAUAUCUGGAGGAACACCAGUGGCGAAGGCGGCUUUCUGGGCCACCACUGACGCUGAGGCGCGAAAGCUAGGGGAGCGAACAGGAUUAGAUACCCUGGUAGUCCUAGCCGUAAACGAUGGGCACUAGGUGUGGGGGAUCAUAGACGUCUUCCGUGCUGAAGCUAACGCAUUAAGUGCCCCG